rnacentral:rRNA from 1 species
UACGUAGGGUGCGAGCGUUGUCCGGAAUUAUUGGGCGUAAAGGGCUCGUAGGCGGUUUGUCGCGUCGGGAGUGAAAUCCUACGGCUUAACUGUGGGCUUGCUUUCGAUACGGGCAGACUAGAGGUAUGCAGGGGAGAACGGAAUUCCUGGUGUAGCGGUGAAAUGCGCAGAUGUCAGGAGGAACACCGGUGGCGAAGGCGGUUCUCUGGGCAUGAUCUGACGCUGAGGAGCGAAAGUGUGGGGAGCGAACAGG